AUGAGAGUUGACAAUGCUUGGACACGUAGUCAAGUGUGGAUGCAGAUUGCCCCAUGCUGCCACCCUUGCCAUCAAGGGGAAGAGGGGAUUGAUUCCUGCCAACAAGGGCUGGAAGUUGAGCCCAAGAAAAGGCUGUUGUGGAAGAGGACAGACCCUGUGAAGAAGGGCUGUGCCUGGCAGGAGUUGGGUGGAGGAUUGGCUUUUCUUUUUGUUUCCUUUUGGAUUCCAGUUGUCUCUGGAUGGGGUGGACUUUCACAACUUACUUGGAAAGCAAAAUCAGCUCAGAGCUGGUGGUCGACCAUUUGAGAGAGGGAAACUGAGGCAGUGGAUGGUCCCAACGCCAGACUGGCUCUUUUCAUCAAAUACCAUCCUCUUUGUGGACCAGGCACUAGAGGGCGAUGAGACACACACACUGGAUUUCAUAGCUAUUUGCUGACGUGGAGGAACAUAAAGACUCUGGAAUCUUGGGUUCAGUUCCAGCUUCUGGAGGGGUGUGUGUUUUAGAGGGCACAGACCUGUCUGCCACCCUAAAGUCUGCCCUUGUGCUAGUUCUGUCACCCUGCCUUCCAAUUCUGAUAUUGUUACCCUCCCAGUCUCUUGCUCUGGGCUCCUCAUCCAAGUCAUUGCAGUAAAUCGAUGUUAAAACAAAGGGAGUUCUCUUUUAAUCUGCUCUAAUGAAUAGAGCAUUUCUCUGUAUUCUGAAGCCACCAGGAAUUGGAAUUUAUUAGUAUAUGUGGUUCUGAGCACGUUGUGAGUUUAAAAAUAAAAAGUACAGAAAUAUGAGACUGCA